CUACAGGGGACCUCCCAGAAGGCACACUUGUAGGUCCAGCGGGAGCCAGUGAAGCCAAAGAGGAUAGAGGAGAACUGAUCCAAGUUGGACCAGAGUAGGGAUGAUAAUGCCGAUGAAGCACGAAGAAGACAUUGUUGUGCGUCCAAAUCCUUCUUAGGAAAAGUGUAUUUGGCUAAAAAGAGAAAUCCGCGGAGUGACCAGAGCCAGUAACGCAAGGCCUCCCGUUGCCCCUUGGGUUCCAUCUUCGACUGCCCUGCGGCCGUUCUCGCUCCUUCCACC